rnacentral:lncRNA from 1 species
CUGGAAUCCAACAGCUCUUGGCUGUGUCCUCACUCGGGGAAAGGCCACAUAGACUUCUCCAUCUUGCGAGCUCUCAGGAAGGAUGCCACCUGUGGACCUUUUGAAAAAUGACUUCAGAUAGACUCAGACUUAUGAAUUGAAAAUGGUCUGAAGGAGGAACUCAGGAAAAGGAUUCUAGAGGAAAGGCCUCCCAGACCACAGCAACUGUGACUAGAAGAAGUCCUGGUCAUAAAGACGCCAAACGUCCAAGGAGGGGCCGGGCUGAGGCUGCAAGCCCCUACCACCAAGCUGAAGAAACUGCCACUUGUUGGAGACAAAUUUGUGGAGUUGAGAAUGGUCUCUCUCAAAAAGACACUUCUUGAAGAGUCUGGGCCAGGGUCUUCCGUUUUGCUUUUAUAUGGGAUUUAAUGCUAGAAAGCAUUAAAUACAUACACAUACAUGUAUAGAUACACAUAUACAAAGGGAUAUACAGGUAAAGAUAAACAUAUUUGGACAUAGAUAUACAUACACAAACAGACAUACGUAUAAAGACAUAGGUAAAAAUAUGCGU